UACGUAGGGUGCAAGCGUUAAUCGGAAUUACUGGGCGUAAAGCGUGCGCAGGCGGCUUAGCAAGACAGAUGUGAAAUCCCCGGGCUUAACCUGGGAACUGCAUUUGUGACUGCAUGGCUAGAGUGCGGCAGAGGGGGAUGGAAUUCCGCGUGUAGCAGUGAAAUGCGUAGAUAUGCGGAGGAACACCGAUGGCGAAGGCAAUCCCCUGGGCCUGCACUGACGCUCAUGCACGAAAGCGUGGGGAGCAAACAGG
rnacentral:rRNA from 1 species